CGCGUCCGGCUCGUGGACGCCUGUGCCCAUCCAAGCCCACUCCCGGUUAGUCUGGCGCCGUGCGGCCCUCCCGCCCGGCGUUGGGGCACCGCAUAGCCGACAGCCGUCGCACCUUCAGGGAGCCCUUACAUG
rnacentral:sRNA from 1 species